rnacentral:rRNA from 1 species
UACGUAGGGGGCGAGCGUUGUCCGGAUUUAUUGGGCGUAAAGAGCGUGUAGGCGGCCAGGUAGGUCCGUUGUGAAAACUCGAGGCUCAACCUCGAGACGUCGAUGGAAACCAUCUGGCUAGAGUCCGGAAGAGGAGAGUGGAAUUCCUGGUGUAGCGGUGAAAUGCGCAGAUAUCAGGAAGAACACCCGUGGCGAAAGCGGCUCUCUGGGACGGUACUGACGCUGAGACGCGAAAGCGUGGGGAGCGAACAGG